rnacentral:lncRNA from 1 species
UAAAAAAGGCAGUGAAGCAAAGCACUGCCAAAAUGCAUUGUAUUACCAGAACAUUGUCACAGCAUUGCCUUAUAAUGGGAAUUGACAUCUGAGCCAAAGCACUAUGAUUUUCUUCAAUAAUACAUUGCCAUAAGUACUUCUCCCUGCGGAGGAGCUGCAUCUCCAUGAUCCCAUGACAAAGGAGAGAGUCUGGCACAUAGACAGUGUCAUCCCGUCUCUGAAUCACAUGGACCCUUUUAACUAGCAGUAAAAAAAAAAAAAAAAAGAAAAAGAAAAAAAAAGCUGAAUUUCUUUGAUUUUCUUCUUUUUAGGUGUGGGGCACAGCUGUCCAGACUGUAGGCAACAACCACUUGCUCUGAUGUGCCAUCCCACGCAGCAGGGAAACCAAGCAUGGCCAUGGGCACACAACUUCUCUCCUUCACUUGGAGCUUUGUCUCGUGCACAGGGAGCACCAGUGUGUGUCUGUGCUGUCGUGAACCACUCGCUCAUGACGCUGGUCAGACACAAGCACUGCAGAACAGCUUGGCAAUGAGUUGUCUUACAUUGAGAGGUGGAACCGUCUGGCACAGACCCAGGGUUUUACAGCAGGGCACAGUCUCAGCAUGAGCCAUCUCCUCACGGUAAACUGCAGACUUGUCUCCCCGGGACUCUAGGCAGGCCUGGGUAGGAUGGUGUGCCUAAGACAAGCGUGAAAUGGAACAGCUUGCAACUUUCCACUCAUUCCUCUCCUUACGAGAAACAAUUUCAUUCUGGAACAAUGAAAGUCAAGACGAAAACAAACAUGAAAAAUACACAGUGUCAAAGUCAAGCACUCAGCAAUGUCAAUACUCCCAAGCUGCAGUGAUCCUGGUACUCUUCUGAUUUGUUUUAUGUCACUGGAUUUCUACUGAUUUUCAUGUCAUUAACCCUGAUUUAUAGCACUAAGGUAGGGACAGGGAAUGGCAUUAUUACUUUGUAAUAUCAGGCUGCUCAGUGCAUUCUCACUUGUAAUUAUGUUUUUAGAAGCAAGUUAAAGUUUCCUAUUAUAUCCACAGCAAGAUCUAUUUAAGAGAUAGCAAUUGCGCAUCCCAAAACUAUUUAUACCACUGAGGAGUGAAUCAGGUUAGGAAAAAAAUUAGAGAAGAUCUCUCUCUCUCUUCAUCCCUCACAACUUCCAGAGAGGCUAUUUUUCAGGUUGUAGCAAUGCAGAGUGCUUGCUUAUUUUGUUUACACUUACCAAAGUUCCUUGCUUUUGGUCAGCAGUGCAAUGCUGAAAUGUGGUGCCUUGGGGCCUGAUAUCCCACCUGCCUCUCAGAAACAGAGUGGACCUAUUCUUACCUGUUUUACAGGUAAAAUUUUCACUUUUUCCAUCCAUUGGAACCCAGCAUCAGAGCAGAAGCAGAUGAAGCAGAAAAGAGUGUGGGUUUGUGUAUUUUUUUUUUUAAUUCUGUGAGAAUUCCUGCUGACAGAGGAUCAGGUGGAGAGUGCGGCCUGGUGUUCCCUAUACCUGAUAAAGCUGUGUUGGAAAGGCUGUUCCACAUGAUCUUGAAAGUAACUCAAUCUCACCAGAGCUCCAAAUAACUAGUUUGCUGAUGGGAAAAAAGAGUUAUGUGAUUUCUCCGAUAACUUUUUGAGGUUUCUUAUUUUUUACUUUUUUAUUUUUUUCCUGGAGAAAUAAAUUUAGAAAGUUAAUGUUAUCUGCUGUUUUU